rnacentral:rRNA from 1 species
GACGAACGCUGGCGGCGUGCUUAACACAUGCAAGUCGAACGGAAAGGCCCUGCUUUUGUGGGGUGCUCGAGUGGCGAACGGGUGAGUAACACGUGAGUAACCUGCCCUUGACUUUGGGAUAACUUCAGGAAACUGGGGCUAAUACCGGAUAUGAGCUCCUGCUGCAUGGUGGGGGUUGGAAAGUUUCGGCGGUUGGGGAUGGACUCGCGGCUUAUCAGCUUGUUGGUGGGGUAGUGGCUUACCAAGGCUUUGACGGGUAGCCGGCCUGAGAGGGUGACCGGCCACAUUGGGACUGAGAUACGGCCCAGACUCCUACGGGAGGCAGCAGUGGGGAAUAUUGCACAAUGGGCGGAAGCCUGAUGAAGCAACGCCGCGUGCGGGAUGACGGCAUUCGGGUUGUAAACCGCUUUCGCCUGUGACGAAGCGUGAGUGACGGUAAUGGGUAAAGAAGCACCGGCUAACUACGUG